AUUGAACGCUGGCGGCAUGCCUUACACAUGCAAGUCGAACGGCAGCACGGGAGCUUGCUCCUGGUGGCGAGUGGCGAACGGGUGAGUAAAGCAUCGGAACGUAUCCGGAAGUGGGGGAGUAACGUAGCGAAAGUUACGCUAAUACCGCAUAUUCUAUGAGCAGGAAAGAGGGGGAGUCGCAAGACCUCUCGCUUUCGGAGCGGCCGAUGUCGGAUUAGCUAGUUGGUGGGGUAAAGGCUCACCAAGGCAACGAUCCGUAGCGGGUCUGAGAGGAUGAUCCGCCACACUGGAACUGAGACACGGUCCAGACUCCUACGGGAGGCAGCAGUGGGGAAUUUUGGACAAUGGGCGCAAGCCUGAUCCAGCCAUGCCGCGUGAGUGAAGAAGGCCU
rnacentral:rRNA from 1 species